rnacentral:tRNA from 1 species
AGAGAGGUGGCCGAGUGGUCGAAGGCGCACGCUUGGAAAGCGUGUAUACGGCAACGUAUCGAGGGUUCGAAUCCCUUCCUCUCUGC